CCUACGGGAGGCAGCAGUGGGGAAUUUUGGACAAUGGGCGCAAGCCUGAUCCAGCCAUGCCGCGUGCAGGAUGAAGGCCUUCGGGUUGUAAACUGCUUUUGUACGGAACGAAAAGGUCUGCCCUAAUACUGUGUUCUCAUGACGUUACCGUAAGAAUAAGCACCGGUUAACUACGUGCCAGCAGCCGCGGUAAU
rnacentral:rRNA from 1 species